UGGAGUGGGCGCAUGAUCGCUGUCCGUUUACGGAUAGAGGAAAGUCCGAACUCCGCAGGGCAGGGUGGUUCGUAACGCGAACUGGGGGUGACCCCAAGGAAAGUGCCACAGAAAACAUACCGCCUCGGCGUUGUCGGGGUAAGGGCGAAAAGGCGAGGUAAGAGCUCACCGCUUUCGCGGCGACGCGGAAGGCAUGGUAAACCCCACCCGGAGAAAGACCAAAUAGGGAAGCGUUUAAGGACUGCCCGUCCAAGGCUUCCGGGUAGGUUGCUAGAGACGCCGGGCGACCGGCGCCCCAGAGAAAUGAUCAUGGUUCGCCUCGGCGGAUACAGAAUUCGGCUUAUAGCCCACUCCAGUUU
rnacentral:RNase_P_RNA from 2 species